rnacentral:rRNA from 1 species
UACAGAGGGGGCAAGCGUUAUUCGGAAUUAUUGGGCGUAAAGGGCGCGUAGGCGGCCUGGCAAGUGGAAGGUGAAAUCCCUCGGCUUAACCGAGGAACUGCCUGUCAAACUGCGUGGCUUGAGACCAGGAGAGGUGAGUGGAAUUCCCAGUGUAGCGGUGAAAUGCGUAGAUAUUGGGAGGAACACCAGUGGCGAAGGCGGCUCACUGGACCGGAACUGACGCUGAGGCGCGAAAGCGUGGGGAGCAAACAGG